GAGAGAGGGAAAGGAAGAAAAGGGAAAAAGAGAAGAAGAAGAAAGUAAUGAAAUUGGUGUCGUUUGACGAGCCGAUCGAUCCCCCGCGCGCGUUGGAUUUUUCCGGCGCUUCGACUGCGAAGAACGAAACUUGGGAGAUAACCUAUUGGAACUUGAAAACCUGAGAUCAGGUUGGUGUGUUAUUUAACAGGAAUUGAGGAUUGAAGUCCUAACGUGAAGUUGACCACGUACAAACCUAAUUGAGGGUAAAACGAACGCGUUGGCGAAGUCGGUUCGGCAAUCCAUCGAGCCUACGCGAAGAUAUCGCCAAAAGGACGUUUUCGGCAUCAAUUGACGCGAGCGCGGGUCGCGGUUCUUGGAAAAGUGCGAGAAGCGCAUUUCUCGCAAUCCGGUACAAAAUAAAG